UGAAUACGAGACGCUAAGGCGUUGAAGUAGUGUAUGUCAUACUUCCAAGAAAAGCUUGCACUGUCAUAGGUAAAAAACGCCUGUACCAUAACCGACACAGGUGGGUAGGUAGAGUAUACUAAGGGGCGCGAGAUAACUCUCUCUAAGGAACUCGGCAAAAUAACUCCGUAACUUCGGGAGAAGGAGUGCCUUAUUUAUAAGGCUGCAAUAACAAGAUCCAAGCAACUGUUUAUCAAAAACACAGGUCUCCGCUAAGUCGUAAGACGAUGUAUGGGGGCUGACGCCUGCCCAGUGCCAGAAGGUUAAAGAAGUUGGUUAGCAAUAGCGAAGCUGAUAACUGAAGCCCUGGUGAACGGCGGCCGUAACAAUAACGGUCCUAAGGUAGCGAAAUUCCUUGUCGGGUAAGUUCCGACCCGCACGAAAGGCGUAAUGAUUUGGAUACUGUCUCGGAGAGGGGCUCGGUGAAAUAGACUUGUCUGUGAAGAUGCGGACUACCUGCACCAGGACAGAAAGACCCUAUGAAGCUUUACUGUAACUUGAAAUUGAAAUUGGACUUUAUUCGCGCAGUAUAGGUGGGAGGCGUUGAUUGUAAUCUUGCGGGAUUAUUGGAGCCAUCAGUGAGAUACCACCCUUGUAAUGUUAGAUUUCUAACUUUGAAUCAUUAUCUGGUCAAAGAACAGUUUCAGGCGGGCAGUUUGACUGGGGCGGUCGCCUCCUAAACGGUAACGGAGGCGUACAAAGGUUUCCUCUGAACGGUUAGAAAUCGUAUCUAGAGUGUAAAGGCAUAAGGAAGCUUGACUGUGAGACCUACAAGUCGAGCAGGGACGAAAGUCGGUCUUAGUGAUCUGACGGUACUGAGUGGAAAGGCCGUCACUCAACGGAUAAAAGUUACUCUAGGAUAACAGGCUGAUCUCCCCCAAGAGUUCACAUCGACGGGGAGGUUUGGCACCUCGAUGUCGGCUCAUCGCAUCCUGGGGCGGUAGUACGUCCCAAGGGUUGGGCUGUUCGCCCAUGAAAGCGGUACGCGAGCUGGGUUCAGAACGUCGUGAGACAGUUCGGUCCAUAUCCGGUGUAGGCGUUAGAAUAUUGAGAGGAGCCUUCUUUAGUACGAGAGGACCGAGAAGGACAUACCUCUGGUGUACCAGUUAUCGUGCCAACGAUAAACGCUGGGUAGCUAUGUAUGGAGUGGAUAACCGCUGAAAGCAUCUAAGUGGGAAGCCCACCUCAAGAUAAGUAUUCUCC
rnacentral:rRNA from 1 species